rnacentral:rRNA from 1 species
UACGAGGGGGGCGAGCGUUGUUCGGAAUUAUUGGGCGUAAAGGGUGCGUAGGCGGUUCCGCAAGUCCUGUGUGAAAUCUUCGGGCUCAACUCGAAGUCUGCACGGGAAACUGCGGGGCUUUGAGUGUGGGAGAGGUGAGUGGAAUUCCCGGUGUAGCGGUGAAAUGCGUAGGUAUCGAGAGGAACACCUGUGGCGAAAGCGGCUCACUGGACCAUAACUGACGCUGAUGCACGAAAGCUGGGGGAGCAAACAGG